CUGAGGGGCCGGGCGGGCGGCGCCCCCAGGGACGCGGAGGGGAACGGGCCCCAACCCAGGCGCAGCCACGCGUGGGCACUGUCCAGGGGGCUCAGCCCAGCGGCCUGGCACGGGGAGUGGGGCACCUGUGCAGGUGCGGUGGGGAGGUGUGCGGCUGUGCUCCGUGUGUCACAGGCGUCCGGCACUGAAAAGCAAGAAGGCAGCGUGCCUAACGGGAUGCAGCGACUCGGAACGGGCCGUGGUUGUUCUCUCACAUCCGUUUGAUUUUGGUAUUAUUUUGCUCGCAGUUGUGGUCUCCACAUAAGAGUGGUCCUCUGGAGCGGGGAGAAAAGGGUGGCUUCUCCCUUCUCAAGGCAGAUCUGGCAGCUCCCAGGAUCUCGAAAUGUCACCACAUGUUCUGAAUUGUGGGGCUCUGAAACGACUGCGGCUUUGCGUGUAGUCAGUGUUCCAAAUAAGCACUCGGUCUCAGCAAUACCAAAUAAAACACGCGGGUCCCAACUGCAUGGAGCGGAUUAGAGAUGAGAAAGCAGGCAAUACUUGCGGCUUCUCUGUUCCCGCAGUUCUAUUUAUAUUGCUCGAAAGGGAACUGCCAUCUCUCAAUGAGCUAAUACAAGUGCCGCGGUACCUAAAUACGGAGCAGCAAAUGAGAAACAAAAGCGAAACCGUAACACAGAACCCAUCCUAUGUUGCCAACGCCGUGCCGUGAGCUGGAUUUCGUACGUUGGAAUAUCCCUCUUCCUUCAUUGGGACUUUCAUCUGUAGUAGGUGAAAUGAAAGAUCCACGUGAAGCCACGCAGGUGUUGUAUCCUAUGUAGGUGUCACCAAAUCAGGUGCUUCUGUGAGGUUCCGCUGCCCUUCUCUAUGUAGGAUCGCUUCUUUUAAGGUAUGUUUUAAAGGAAUUGUGAGUACCUCAUGUUUCUUAUUACAGUAAUAACCGGGCCUAAGUCCUGCCGCCGGUACCGCACCUGAAAGUAGAUGAGGUUCUCACGUAGUUCCUUCUCCUCACUCUUCUCAUUCUUCCCCUGAGAGAGCUCUUCUUUCUCAAAAACAUGAGAUAAAACUGGGGCAAGGGCAAGCGUGCGAAGAAUUCACUUCGGACACAGAUAAGAAGAAAGGGUGAGAGAGGAGCUUAGAGACACUUAGUCACCCCAGCUGCCUUCCUUCCUCUUCCUCCUCUCCAGCAACUUCAGAACAGCAGAUUACCCCAGAACAUGGCUUGCUCACUGCAACUAGCAGAGCCUUCUGAAGGUGAAUGACAACUGAACACUGCAACUAGGUGACAAGACGGUGUGCUAAUUAAUGCUAAUGCAGUCUGCGUAGGGCUGGGACUGCGAUUUGAGGAACGCUGGGUGCUGAUGGAAUACAACGCUCACUGACUCCAUUUAAUUCCACUGAAUUAAGCAGCACUUAGAUGAACAACACUAUUACUGUUAAAUUUGCUCCCAUGCUAAAAAAGCAUUCAAAAUAUCGGUACAUGUGACAGCUGUGUCUCCACCACAUGACCAUCCUGUGCAAAGCUGAGUGCAAAAUUGUUUACAAGCAGGCGUUUCACCCACCUUCCAGAAUUAAGGUGAAAAGGAGAGACAUUAUCCGUAAUUUGGGAUGAAUAUCUUUGAAUUUAGGGAGGUCACAAAGUUGGCUCAAUUGGUGACCUGAAGUUUGCACCAUCAGGAGAUUUUGUUUUUAAGAAGCAUAAAAUGUAACUUGUUUGCUGCACGUCUCCUUAGGUAUCUGCAUAGACAGCUCAGGUUUCCUUCACUACACUGCAUUUCAAAUGCAUAAAAGCUGUUAAAUGAACGUCUGUAGGUGAAAUGGGCAAUGCAAAUGGGCAGUAAAGAUGGCUCUCCAGCUUCUGUUUGCAUUCUGAGCUUAACUAUGAGCCCUAGCUCCUGCACAGUGCAUCAUGCAAAGAAGGGUGUCAUCCAUCCCCACGUGGACAUCCCCGUUGCCACCCUCCUCUCCACUGGUUGCCAAAACCCAAAAACCACUGAAUCACAGAAUGGCUUCGGUUGGAAGGGACUUUAAAGGCCAUCCAGUUCCAGUGACAAGGGGAGGGCACGGGGUGCCUGUCACUCUGUCUUAAGUCUCUUCCACUUUGUCUCGAUGAACUUCAGAACUGAAGCACUGGAAACGCUCUCUCUUCUCACUUAAGGUGGAGAGUUCGGUGGGAACAACCAAACUCAGCAAAUAACAGAAAUGCCCCACAAGCACAGUCUGAGGUGAAUACGGCAUCUACAAAGUACACAGCUGUAAAAUCGUAGGGGCUGAAAUCCGCCACCAACUAAAGUUUUCAGUGCUCCUCAAAACAGAGAAAACCAAGCGAGUUUGGUGUUAACACCAGCCAAGCACUGAGCUGUAUAAAGUACCUGAGUUAUUCAUUUGCACUCGUGUAGAAAGUUGUUAUACGUAUUUUCCAUGCACAAAGAAAGUUUUAAAGCUCUCAGAGCUCCCACUUGUUCUGUUUUUCAAAGGACUUAAUACAAGCUCAUGACCCAGCUCCGGUCUUUACCCAGGUAAAGCUGCCUGAGGUGUCCCUGGGACUCUCCUUGGAUGAGGACUGCUGGCUGACUCCAUCACUGCAUCUUACCCGAGUGACUGAUGCCAGGCUCAAUGUGAGAAGCACCAUAUAGCAGAUUUCAUCUUGGGGAACACAGGUCACUUUGGCAUCUGUAAGCUGGAGGAUAAUAAGUUUUUUUUUUCUCCACCUCAAAAGGUGAAGGUGAGGCUGGGGUCCCAUAUGAGAUGUGGAAGUAGGGGAUAGGACUUUGUAGCCUAGACUGUGUGGGUCUGGAGUGCAGUGCCCCUGAAUGUCCCUACGAAGAGCAGAGGAUGAACCUGAUGCUUUCUGUCACUUCUGUUUGGCUCCUACUGAAGUGGGAAGAUGUUCUUCUCCAUUCAACAGUGAGCUGGGAAUUAAGGUCAGGACUUUAUAGAUACCCUAAAUUUUGCAUGGAUGAGCUCAACCCUGGCAUAGCCAAGGAGAAGCUGUGGCUCCAUGUGAUGUCAGCCAGUUGUUCCCCAGAACAGCCAUAGGAACAGCACUCCUAACCAACACCUGACCUCUCGCAGAGGUAAUCACUGUGCACACACUCCAAGCCUGCAAUGGUUUCCCUCACCCCGUUGCUCCUUUUCUACAUCAAGAGAGAGAAGGAAAGUUCUGGGCACAUUUUUCCUACCCCAUGCAGUUCCUCGCCUAAAUCUCCCUUUGUCCCCAUUUCAAGACAAAGCUCACACCGAAGAAAGUGGUCGAUAUGAUCUAUACGAAGAAGAACGAUGCGGUUCUGCCUCAAAGAUGCUGUGUUUUACCAGCAGGUUACCAGGUAAGACGACUGAGUGCUUGGACUGAAAUUGGAGGCUUGUAAAAGGAAAUGAGCGCAGUGGUUAACCUUAAAACUGCAUUCAUGUGUGUACCCUGAACAAAUGCAGCUACGGAACGAUAAA